UUGAUCCUACGGGGGGCAGCAGUGAGGAAUAUUGGUCAAUGGUCGGGAGACUGAACCAGCCAAGCCGCGUGAGAGAGGAAGGUACAGAGUAUCGUAAACCUCUUUUGUCAGGGAACAAAGACUGGGACGCGUCCCGGAUGAGUGUACCUGAAGAAAAAGCAUCGGCUAACUACGUGCCAGCAGCCGCGGUAAUACGGAGGAUGCGAGCGUUAUCAGGAUUUAUUGGGUUU
rnacentral:rRNA from 1 species